rnacentral:rRNA from 1 species
GUUGAACGCUGGCGGCAGGCUUGACACAUGCAAGUCGAGCGGGGGAAGGUAGCUUGCUACUGGACCUAGCGGCGGACGGGUGAGUAAUGCUUAGGAAUCUGCCUAUUAGUGGGGGACAACAUCUCGAAAGGGCUGCUAAUACCGCAUACGUCCUACGGGAGAAAGCAGGGGAUCACUUGUGACCUUGCGCUAAUAGAUGAGCCUAAGUCGGAGUAGCUAGUUGGUGGGGUAAAGGCCUACCAAGGCGACGAUCUGUAGCGGGUCUGAGAGGAUGAUCCGCCGCACUGGGACUGAGACACAGCCCAGACUCCUACGGGAGGCAGCAGUGGGGAAUAUUGGACAAUGGGGGGAACCCUGAUCCAGCCAUGCCGCGUGUGUGAAGAAGGCCUUAUGGUUGUAAAGCACUUUAAGCGAGGAGGAGGCUCUUUUGGUUAAUACCCAAGAUGAGUGGACGUUACUCACAGAAUAAGCACCGGCUAACUCUGUGCCAGCCGCCGCGGUAA